rnacentral:rRNA from 1 species
AUGAGUCAUCCUGAUGGCAUCAACAUUCUCAAUGUCAAGUUCUGCCUAGGAGAUGAUGACUAUGCAUGUCGGCCAGGUGUUCUUCCACCUAGAAAAACCAAGUACCAUCUGAACGAGUUAGCUAGAUGUAGGAACUAUCCUAGGACUCCACAUGAGCUAUUUAAUCUUAGACACUCCAGCCUUAGAGUUACUGUUGAGAGGGCAUUUGGAGCUCUGAAGAACAGGUUUAAGAUACUAGAUCAGAAACCAUUCUACACUUUCUCCACCCAGGUUAAGCUUGUGCUUACCUAUUGCAUUCUGCAUAACUGGAUCCUGCAAUGGGGUUGUGAUGAACUGAUGCCUAAGGAGGGAUAUGUGACACCUGAUGAUGUUGUCAGCUCCUGCCAUGGUGUGAAGGCAUUUAACAACGAAGCCUGGAAGAACAAAAGGAUGAAAUUGGCACAUACAAUGUGGGAUAACAGAGGUCGGACAAGGAUCCGAAGAAGAAGAAAAACAAGAGGAGCAACAGUAGAAGAGAAAAAGAAGAAGCAUGAGGACACGAAGAAGAAGAAACAAUAG